AGCGAACGCUGGCGGCAGGCUUAACACAUGCAAGUCGAACGGUCCUUCGGGAUAGUGGCGGACGGGUGAGUAACACGUGGGAACGUACCCUUAGGUUCGGAACAACACAGGGAAACUUGUGCUAAUACCGGAUAAGCCCUUCAGGGGAAAGAUUUAUCGCCUUUGGAGCGGCCCGCGUCUGAUUAGCUUGUUGGUGAGGUAAUGGCUCACCAAGGCUACGAUCAGUAGCUGGUCUGAGAGGAUGGCCAGCCACACUGGGACUGAGACACGGCCCAGACUCCUACGGGAGGCAGCAGUGGGGAAUCUUGCGCAAUGGGCGAAAGCCUGACGCAGCCAUGCCGCGUGGAUGAUGAAGGUCUUAGGAUUGUAAAAUCCUUUCACCGGGGACGAUAAUGACGGUACCCGGAGAAGAAGCCCCGGCUAACUUCGUGCCGGCAGCCGCCGCCG
rnacentral:rRNA from 1 species